rnacentral:rRNA from 1 species
GACGAACGCUGGCGGCAUGCCUAAUACAUGCAAGUCGAGCGAACAGAUGAAGUGCUUGCACUUCUGACGUUAGCGGCGAACGGGUGAGUAACACGUAAGGAAUCUACCUAUAAGCGGGGGAUAACAUUCGGAAACGGGUGCUAAUACCGCAUAAUAUCUUCUUCCGCAUGGAAGAAGAUUGAAAGACGGCUCUGCUGUCACUUAUAGAUGACCUUGCGGUGCAUUAGUUAGUUGGUGGGGUAACGGCCUACCAAGACGAUGAUGCAUAGCCGACCUGCGAGGGUGAUCGGCCACAUUGGGACUGAGACACGGCCCAAACUCCUACGGGAGGCAGCAGUAGGGAAUCUUCCGCAAUGGGCGAAAGCCUGACUGAGCAAGGCCGCGUGAGUGAAGAAGGCCUUCGGGUCGUAAAACUCUGUUAUAAGAGAAGAACAAAUUGUAGAGUAACUGCUACAGUCUUGACGGUAUCUUAUCAGAAAGCCACGGCUAACUACGUGCCAGCCGCCGCCGUAA